rnacentral:rRNA from 1 species
UACGGGGGGGGCAAGCGUUGUUCGGAAUUAUUGGGCGUAAAGAGCUCGUAGGCGGUCUGUCGCGUCGAUCGUGAAAACUUGGGGCUUAACCCUGAGCUUGCGGUCGAUACGGGCAUGACUGGAGUUCGGCAGGGGAGACUGGAAUUCCUGGUGUAGCGGUGAAAUGCGCAGAUAUCAGGAGGAACACCGGUGGCGAAGGCGGGUCUCUGGGCCGAUACUGACGCUGAGGAGCGAAAGCGUGGGGAGCGAACAGG